GUUUCCAGGGGAAGGUUCGUCCGCCCUGGGUUAGUCGGGUCCUAAGCUGAGGCCGAAAGGCGUAGGUGAUGGACAACAGGUUGAUAUUCCUGUACUACCGAUAACCGUUUGAGAGAAGGGAUGACACAGUAGGAUAAGCUAAGCACACUGUUGGUUAUGUGUGCCCAAGCAUUGAGGCAGUCAAAGUAGGCAAAUCCGCUUUGAUAAUGCUGGGAUGUGAUGGGGUAAGCGAAAUUUAGUAGCGAAGUAGCUGAUUUCACACUGUCAAGAAAAGUCUCUAUCGAGGUUAAAGGUACCCGUACCGCAAACCGACACAGGUGGGUGAGGAGAGUAUCCUAAGGCCAGCGAGAGAACUGUUGUUAAGGAACUCGGCAAAAUGACCCCGUAACUUAGGGAUAAGGGGUGCCACCAUCAGGUGGCCGCAGAGAAUAGGCCCAAGCGACUGUUUACCAAAAACAUAGGUUUCUGCUAAGUCGCAAGACGAUGUAUAGGAGCUGACGCCUGCCCGGUGCUGGAAGGUUAAGGGGAUCUGUUAGAGCAAUCGAAGCAGUGAACUUAAGCCCCAGUAAACGGCGGCCGUAACUAUAACGGUCCUAAGGUAGCGAAAUUCCUUGUCGGGUAAGUUCCGACCCGCACGAAAGGCGUAACGAUUUGGGCACUGUCUCAACAACAGACUCGGUGAAAUUGUAAUUCCGGUGAAGAUGCCGGAUACCUGCGACAGGACGGAAAGACCCCAUGGAGCUUUACUGUAGCUUGACAUUGGGUCUUGGUACUACGUGUACAGGAUAGGUGGGAGGCUUUGAAACCAGGACGCCAGUUUUGGCGGAGCCAUCCUUGGGAUACCACCCUUGUAGUACUGGGACUCUAACCAUAGGCCAUGAAUCUGGUCUUGGGACACUGUCAGGUGGGCAGUUUGACUGGGGCGGUCGCCUCCCAAAAGGUAACGGAGGCGCUCAAAGGUUCUCUCAGUACGGUCGGAAAUCGUACGUAGAGUGUAAAGGCAAAAGAGAGCUUGAUUGCAAGACAUACAGGUCGAGCAAGGAUGAAAAUCGGACUUAGUGAUCCGGUGGUUCUGCGUGGAAGGGCCAUCGCUCAACGGAUAAAAGCUACCCUGGGGAUAACAGGCUUAUCUCCCCCAAGAGUCCACAUCGACGGGGAGGUUUGGCACCUCGAUGUCGGCUCAUCACAUCCUGGGGCUGUAGUAGGUCCCAAGGGUUGGGCUGUUCGCCCAUUAAAGUGGUACGCGAGCUGGGUUCAGAACGUCGUGAGACAGUUCGGUCCCUAUCCGUCGCAGGCGUAGGAAAUUUGAGAAGACCUGUCCUUAGUACGAGAGGACCGGGAUGGACGUACCUCUGGUGUACCAGUUGUCCUGCCAAGGGCAUGGCUGGGUAGCUAUGUACGGAAUGGAUAAGCGCUGAAAGCAUCUAAGCGCGAAGCCAACUUCAAGAUAAGAUUUCCCACCGCAAGGGUAAGACCCCAGAAAGACUAUCUGGUUGAUAGGUCGAAGGUGUAAGUGCAGCAAUGUAUUUAGCUUAUCGAUACUAAUAGGUCGAGGACUUGACCAA
rnacentral:rRNA from 1 species